UAACAACACGUGUCUGGUUUACGUGCCUGCACGUCGUUACAAUUCGUUAUUUUUACAAGUACCUACUGUUGUUUACGUGAAAUUAAAAGUGGAAAAAACCUAAAUAAUGGAUUCUGAAGGGAAUGCUAUGACCGCUGAAGGCCCGCAGGCAGGUCCAAGUGGACUUUCCCGUAAAAGAGCCCGAAGUAGAGCGAGUAGUACCAGCUCUUCGAGUAGUUCCAGUUCAAGUUCGUCAUCCUCUUCUGGUUCAAAACGGAAGCGUUCGCGGCGCUACCGCCGCAAGAAAAGCAGGCGUUCGCACCGAUACCGCCGCCUGGACAAAUUAUUCGAGGAAGUGGUCAGAGGAGCUGCCAAACCUGCUUCACGUACGGUGAUAGCUGGCUGGAUAAAAACCCUAUUCAAUGAGUCUGGUAUCGCCGACACUCCUGGAAGUGUUCGGUCAGCAGUGGCUUCGAAAAGCUGGCUUGACAAUCAUCCCCUCGACGAAAUCUUAGCACGCGGAAAUUGGCGAUCGGCGGAAACAUUUCAGCGUUUUUAUAGACGAGAAGUGAUAUCAUCUAAUAAUUCCGAAAAUGUUACACAGUUCUUUAAUCCGGUUGAUUAAGAUAAUAAUGUUAAUGAAUCUAUAUAUUUUAAAUUCAUCGUAACUACUUGCCUUUAUUUAU